rnacentral:ncRNA from 1 species
AGGUAUCAGGAGUAACGCCCUGAUUGAAAAGGGAAUACGGUGAGAAUCCGUAACAGACCCGCUGCUGUAAGUCCGCACACUCAUUUAGAGUUGAGAGUUGAGUGUGUUUUUCGCAAACAAUCCACUGAUAGGGGGCAACCCUAUUGGGAAGGAGGCGAAAUAGGAUAAGUCAGAAGACCUGCCUAUUGUU